rnacentral:tRNA from 1 species
GGCGGGAUAGAGAAGUGGCAUCUUGCCAGGCUCAUAACCUGGAGAUCCUCGGUUCGAGUCCGAGUCCCGCCU